UACAGAGGGUGCAAACAUUGCUCGGAAUCAUUGGGCGUAAAGCGCACGUAGGCGGCCCAGCAAGUGGGGAGUGAAAGCCCUCGGCUUAACCGAGGAAGUGCUUUCCAAACUACUGGGCUUGAAUACUGGAGAGGGUCGCGGAAUUCCUGGUGUAGAGGUGAAAUUCGUAGAUAUCAGGAGGAACACCGGCGGCGAAGGCGGCUUCCUGGCCCAUUACUGACGUUCAGGUACGAAAGCGUGGGUAGCAAACAGG
rnacentral:rRNA from 1 species